rnacentral:rRNA from 1 species
CGUAGGGUGCGAGCGUUUAAUCGGAAUUACUGGGCGUAAAGCGUGCGCAGGCGGUUUUGUAAGACAGAUGUGAAAUCCCCGGGCUCAACCUGGGACCUGCAUUUGUGACUGCAAGGCUAGAGUACGGUAGAGGGGGAUGGAAUUCCGCGUGUAGCAGUGAAAUGCGUAGAUAUGCGGAGGAACACCGAUGGCGAAGGCAAUCCCCUGGACCUGUACUGACGCUCAUGCACGAAAGCGUGGGGAGCAAACAGGAUUAGAUACCCUGGUAGUCCACGCCCUAAACGAUGUCAACUGGUUGUUGGGUCUUUACUGACUCAGUAACGAAGCUAACGCGUGAAGUUGACCGCCUGGGGAGUACGGCCGCAAGGUUG